GGAUGUGAGGGCGAUCUGGCUGCGACAUCUGUCACCCCAUUGAUCGCCAGGGUUGAUUCGGCUGAUCUGGCUGGCUAGGCGGGUGUCCCCUUCCUCCCUCACCGCUCCAUGUGCGUCCCUCCCGAAGCUGCGCGCUCGGUCGAAGAGGACGACCAUCCCCGAUAGAGGAGGACCGUUCUUCGGUCAAGGGUAUACGAGUAGCUGCGCUCCCCUGCUAGAACCUCCAAACAAGCUCUCAAGAGUAUGGAUUUCAGCAGGGUGCUGGUGGCCCAUGUCUAUAAUCCUAGCUAUUUAGGAGGCAGAGAU
rnacentral:snRNA from 1 species